GGAGAGGUGGCCGAGCUGGCUGAAGGCGCUCCCCUGCUAAGGGAGUAUAGGGUAACCCCCUAUCGUGGGUUCGAAUCCCACCCUCUCCG
rnacentral:tRNA from 1 species